CGGCGCACAUAAGACAUGCAAGUCGAACGGAAGUCGUUAUAUAGAUUUAGAAACGAACAGAGAACUUGUUCAAAGGGAGUGGACAUUGAAAUAUAACAAUGGCUUUAGUGGCGGACUGGUGAGUAACACGUAAGCAACCUGCCUAUUAGAGGGGAAUAACAGUGAGAAAUCAUUGCUAAUACCGCAUAUGCCAACAAUAUUGCAUGAUAUAGUUGGGAAAGGAGCAAUCCGCUAAUAGAUGGGCUUGCGUCUGAUUAGCUAGUUGGUGGGGUAAUGGCCUACCAAGGCAACGAUCAGUAGCCGGACUGAGAGGUUGAACGGCCACAUUGGGACUGAGAUACGGCCCAGACUCCUACGGGAGGCAGCAGUCGGGAAUAUUGCGCAAUGGAGGAAACUCUGACGCAGUGACGCCGCGUAUAGGAAGAAGGUUUUCGGAUUGUAAACUAUUGUCGUUAGGGAAGAAAAAAGACAGUACCUAAGGAGGAAGCUCCGGCUAACUACGUGCCAGCAGCCGCGGUAAUACGUAGGGAGCAAGCGUUAUCCGGAUUUAUUGGGUGUAAAGGGUGCGUAGACGGGAAAUUAAGUUAGUUGUGAAAUCCCUCGGCUUAACUGAGGAACUGCAACUAAAACUGGUUUUCUUGAGUGCAGGAGAGGAAAGUGGAAUUCCUAGUGUAGCGGUGAAAUGCGUAGAUAUUAGGAGGAACACCAGUGGCGAAGGCGGCUUUCUGGACUGUAACUGACGUUGAGGCACGAAAGUGUGGGGAGCAAACAGGAUUAGAUACCCUGGUAGUCCACACUGUAAACGAUGGAUACUAGGUGUAGGGUGUAUUAAGCAUUCUGUGCCGUCGCAAACGCAAUAAGUAUCCCACCUGGGGAGUACGGCCGCAAGGUUGAAACUCAAAGGAAUUGACGGGGGCCCGCACAAGCAGUGGAGUAUGUGGUUUAAUUCGAAGCAACGCGAAGAACCUUACCAGGGCUUGACAUAUAGAGGAAUAUGCUAGAGAUAGUAUAGCUCUUCGGAGUCUCUAUACAGGUGGUGCAUGGUUGUCGUCAGCUCGUGUCGUGAGAUGUUGGGUUAAGUCCCGCAACGAGCGCAACCCCUAUGGUUAGUUGCCAGCAUGUAAAGAUGGGAACUCUAGCCAGACUGCCGGUGAUAAAUCGGAGGAAGGUGGGGACGACGUCAAAUCAUCAUGCCCUUUAUGUCCUGGGCUACACACGUACUACAAUGGUCGUAACAGAGGGAAGCAAAGCAGCGAUGCAGAGCAAAACCCAAAAAGCGACCUCAGUUCGGAUUGAAGGCUGAAAUUCGCCUUCAUGAAGCCGGAAUUGCUAGUAAUGGCAGGUCAGCAUACUGCCGUGAAUACGUUCCCGGGCCUUGUACACACCGCCCGUCACACCAUGAGAGUUGGGAAUACCCGAAGCCUGUGAGCUAGCAUAUGAGGCAGCAGUCGAAGGUAGAAUCAAUGAUUGGGGUGAAGUCGUAACAAGGUAACC
rnacentral:rRNA from 1 species